ensembl:snRNA U6 U6 spliceosomal RNA
GUGCUCCCUAGCACACAUACUAAAACUGGAAUAAUACAGAGACGAUUAGCAUGGCCCCUGCCCAAGGAUGACACACAAAUUCGAGAAGCAUUUCAUAUUUUU